GUUUGAGUUUUUGAAUUUGUCAUUUGAUAAGAAACUUUCCCUGUUGAAUAUUGAUUUCCUUGGACUUCGUUAUUUUUUCAUAUUUAACUUUUUUUCUAUGUAAAGGAGAUGACCAUUAACAUUUUUUUUUAUAAAUUUUACAUAAAAUUAUUGUUUCAUUCACAUAUCCUGCAUCUAGAAAUAUGAUGUUUUGAUGAUACCAAGAAAAAUUCCAAAUGCUAUAAAAACUUUUGUAAAAAGCAGUCAGAGUCAGUAUUGCAUUUUUGUCUUUUUUUUAUGUUUCAUUAAGCACUUCAGAUAUACUUACUGCUCUUCCGCCUUCUUGAAGUGUUGGCUGGAGAAGGAAAUCAAAAAUCAGUUUUAAUUAAAAGAUGGUGCGCUUUACCGUUUACCGAUUUGUUAUAACAUAAGCAACACGACGGGUGCAACAUGUGGAGCAGGAUCUGCUUACCCUUCUGGAGCACAUGAGAUCACCCCUAGUUUUUGGUUGGGUUCGUGUUGUUUAUUCUAUAUUUUUCUAUGUUGUGUCAUGUGUACUAUUGUUUGUCUGUUUGUCCUUUUCAUUUUUAGCCAUGGCGUUGUCAGUUUAUUUUCGAUUUAUGAGUCUGACUGUCCCUCUGGUAUCUUUCGUCCCUCUUUUACAGAAAAAAAGUCAAAAAAUUGAAGUAUUUUUUUCACUUAAUAUUUGAUUGCCUCAGUACAACAACUCUUGGGUAAGAGAAAGAAGAACUUUUUUGUCAACCAAAAAUAUAACUAAAUUUUCCAGUUGCGUUUGUCUACCAUUUUCAACGUAUAAAUGUAAAUUUGAUAUUUUAGUAAUUUGGUUUACUCUUAAAUUUACCUUCUCAAAUGAUCC
rnacentral:lncRNA from 1 species